GAUGUUAAAGAUAAUCCUCUUGUGUGACAUCUCUGUGAAUUAUUUCUGCUGGAGCCACGCAGCCUAACAGAUUUUCAAAUGAAGCAUUCAGUACCUCAACUCUGUCACCGGCUGGAUUUACCCCAUCUGAUUUUCUGUUCCAGGUGUUUGACUUGGUGGACAUCAAUAUUCUGUUAACCACAAGUGCUAAAAGCUGAAAAUGUCUGCAAUACUGAGAGGAGAUGAGCAGAAAAAUGAUCAUUUUUGAGUAACCUUCACAGAUUAA